rnacentral:misc_RNA from 1 species
AAGUCGUAACAAGGUUUCCGUAGGUGAACCUGCGGAAGGAUCAUUAACACGUAUCCAAACGUUAAACCCCCCCGUGAACCUACAUCUACUUCUCCUCUCACGAGACUGGUUGCAAUCCCUGGUAAAUCAUUGUUGAACAGAUUUUGAUUCAGGGACCUCUAACACCGACAGUUGCAAUUCGAGCGCUUGUGCAAGUGGCCUGGUUUCCCCAAGCUGCCAGUGUCUGAAAGUGUCGCUGGUUGUGUAAGGAAAACGCUUUACGAUCACUGGAGGCCGACACGGCCGGUGACCGGGCUGCUGUGGCUAUAUGCCCCCUAUAUUUACCCCACUACCUGAACUUGGGUCGCAGGAAACUGCUUCCCCUUAAAUCUGAACAACUGUUAACAAUGGAUAUCUUGGUUCUC